rnacentral:misc_RNA from 1 species
CCAUCAGCAGCAGCCUCCUUAGCAGAGGUAGCAGCUUCAGCUGGAGCAGCAGCUGUGCCUCCAAUUCUUACUCCAACAGCUUUACCGGGGAAGCUUGCCGCAAGAUGUGAAGAUACACAGUCGUACCACUUGCUGGCAUUGGGGGAGGCAUCUCCAGGCUUCGCCAGAACAGCAGCGUACACCUUUAUGUCAUCCCUUGAUAGUUUA